CCAGACUCCUACGGGAGGCAGCAGCUAAGAAUAUUCCGCAAUGGACGAAAGUCUGACGGAGCGACGCCGCGUGGAUGAAGAAGGCUGAAAAGUUGUAAAAUCCUUUUGUUGAUGAAGAAUAAGGGGGAGAGGGAAUGCUUCUCUGAUGACGGUAAUCAGCGAAUAAGCCCCGGCUAAUUACGUGCCAGCAGCCGCGGUAACACGUAAGGGGCGAGCGUUGUUCGGAAUUAUUGGGCGUAAAGGGCAUGUAGGCGGUUAUGUAAGCCUGAUGUGAAAUCCUGGGGCUUAACCCUAGAAUAGCAUUGGGUACUGUAUAACUUGAAUUACGGAAGGGAAACUGGAAUUCCAAGUGUAGGGGUGGAAUCUGUAGAUAUUUGGAAGAACACCGGUGGCGAAGGCGGGUUUCUGGCCGAUAAUUGACGCUGAGAUGCGAAAGUGUGGGGAUCGAACAGGAUUAGAUACCCUGGUAGUCCACACCGUAAACGAUGUACACUAGGUGUUGGGGCAAGAGCUUCAGUGCCAAAGCAAACGCGAUAAGUGUACCGCCUGGGGAGUAUGCCCGCAAGGGUGAAACUCAAAGGAAUUGACGGGGGCCCGCACAAG
rnacentral:rRNA from 1 species